rnacentral:rRNA from 1 species
CCUACGGGUGGCAGCAGUGGGGAAUAUUGGGCAAUGGAGGAAACUCUGACCCAGCAACGCCGCGUGAAUGAUGAAGGUCUUCGGAUUGUAAAGUUCUUUUCUAAGGGAAGAAGAAAGUGACGGGACCGUAGGAAUAAGCCUCGGCUAACUACGGGCCAGCAGCCGCGGUAAUACGUAGGAGGCGAGCGUUAGCCGGAAUGACGGGGCGUAAAGGGUGCGUAGGUGGUUUUGCAAGUUAGUAGCGUAACUCCACGGCUCAACCUUGGAACUCCUACGAAAACUGUUGGACUUGAGUGCAGGAUGGGCAACCGGCAUUCCUUGUGUCGCGGUGUCAUGCUUAGAUAUU